rnacentral:rRNA from 1 species
UGGGGAAUAUUGGACAAUGGGCGCAAGCCUGAUCCAGCCAUGCCGCGUGAGUGAUGAAGGCCUUAGGGUUGUAAUGCUCUUUUGGCGGGGACGAUAAUGACGGUACCCGCAGAAUAAGCCCCGGCUAACUUCGUGCCAGCAGCCGCGGUAAUACGAAGGGGGCUAGCGUUGUUCGGAAUUACUGGGCGUAAAGCGCACGUAGGCGGAUCAGCAAGUCAGGGGUGAAAUCCCGGGGCUCAACCUCGGAACUGCCUCUGAUACUGCUGGUCUGGAGUCCGGAAGAGGUGGGUGGAAUUCCUAGUGUAGAGGUGAAAUUCGCAGAUAUUAGGAAGAACACCGGUGGCGAAGGCGGCCCACUGGUCCGGUACUGACGCUGAGGUGCGAAAGCGUGGGGAGCAAACAGGAUUAGAUACCCUUGUAGUCCCUGAGCGGGCUGGCAAGGCGCAU